AGUGGGAUGGCUGGCUCAUAUAGUGGUUCCACUCUAUUUUUUUAGGAAUCUCCACACUGCUUUCCAAAGUAGUUGUAUUGAUUUUCAGUCCCACCAACCAU
rnacentral:pre_miRNA from 1 species